rnacentral:sRNA from 1 species
GGCGGAGGCGGAGGCGGAGGCGGAGGCAGAUCUGGUGUAUUUCAAAGUAUUCAUCGGAUACUUUCAGAGAUGCCUGCCAUUGUCGAGCCUUCCUCUCACGGGCUUCCUGGUAUGUAUUAUUUAUGUCUGUGGGUCGUUGUUGUUCGUCUAAGCACUAAUACAAGUUCUUUAAAUUGCAGGUGAUUCCAAGCGUCUACUUCUUUGCUUGUUUGUUUCUAGAAUACGGUUGGAGGGACACAGCAGUAGCCUCGAGAGCUGCCGAGUGACUGAAGUCAUAGGAUAGAACAGGGAGUUUAAUUCUUGCCAAGUGAAUGAUGGAUGCAGUGUUCUUCCCAAGUAUUGGUGGCGAAGUCUCACUGCUGGGGUUGGUAUCUCUGAGCUUAACCCCUGCGGCGACUUUGGUAGACCAGGCUCUCUUUCUGGGGUGAAGAAGAACACAUCUGAGAAACUAGAUAAUAGAACGAAUAAGACAUUUGGUAAAUAAAAGCAACUAAAACUCGAGAAGCAGCACACACGUGGAAAAACAGAUAAUGGCGCAAGUAAGACAUUCAGCAAAUAUGACCAAAUGAUGCAAUAGAGUUUGGCCUGAGCCAGGCAUCAGGAUGCAGUUCUCCAUCCAGUGUCUGUUUCGUCUCCCUGGGUUUAUUUUUUAAUGAGGCAGGCUCCGAAGGUCACAAACACAUUUCAUUGGCCUGUUCUCCAAGGAUUCUGCUUUCAUCGGAGGAGUCCAUAUACAGCCCUAUUAAUCUUCAGGACAACGUCCACAUGAAAAUGAUCCGAGCCUGGCGGAUGACUGCACUGGUCUGCUUGCAAGAGAUUCACAGAGGUCCACGCAAGUCAUCCUACUUAAGGGAUCUUCCUUCUGUCUUCACCCUCACCUCAUCUGCCCACAGCUCUCCACCUCCCCGGGGCUCAUUGUAGCCCUCUUUCUGAGAUGGAGGGUCAGUUCAGAGGGCAGCUGUUGCCUCCUCUCUCUCCAGGAAACAAGCUCUCCUCAUAAGGAUUCUUUUUCCCAGCAAGAGAAGAUGACCUGGAAAUUUGACAGUACCGGAGUUACAGACAACUCUUUCUCAAGAGAGAAAUAUUACCUUAUAGAAACCAGCUCUUUAUCCUGCUGUGAAACUGUACUGUGUUCUGCGGAUUGUCUCUGAUUAGAGCUGGGUGACCUGGGGGAAGCUCGGAGGGCUGCCUUCUGCACACCUCAAAGGCAGCUGGAAUCGUAUGUGACCCUGAAAAGAAGCCGCAGCGUUACUUAGGGGGGAGGCGGGGGAAAGACAACGAUGCCAAUAUCAGCCAGCACAUUCCUUGCUCAGAGCGAACGAGAACGUUCUUAAACACACCAGGAGAAAAGUCCCGAAGGUUUCAAAACUCCCGGUGAUGGUAAAGUUCUUGGCUAACUUCCUAGAGCAUUAUCAGGCAUUAUAAAUGUCCUUUGAAUUCACGCAGUCCCUAAGAACAAAAGAAUUGUUUGGAGGAUUUUAGUGUUUACUCUUUUGGGGGUCUGAAGGCUCUAUUUGUAACUUCUUAAUAAAAUCAAAUUUUUGUCAUGCUAAAAAGGGAAGAAAAUGGUAAAUUACUUUUGAAACAUAAAUAGGCAUUUAAUCAGUUAGUUAGAUAAUAUUUGUUGAGCACUGGGGUGUACUAAGCAAUGCUAUAGGGAUAAAGCCAUGGUGGUGACCCAGAUGAGCUUUGUCCCUGCCUUCCUGAUGUACCCCAGUGGGCAGAGUAGGCUUACAGUAAAUCACGUCUAAGGAAAAAUGCAAGUGACCACAGCAUCCCUCUUCAGAGAUUAUUAAGAACUUUCUGCAGGAUUUAGACAUGCGCUGAACUGUAAAGACAAGGAGACCUUGAAAAUACUGAAGGCACAGCUUGGGGAUUUACCUGCCAAAAGCCCAGAGUCCCAUCUCCUACAACAGGGAAAUUCAUUAUUUGAACUGGUAUCCAAUGGAUGAAGAUAUUGUAAACAUAAUGCGUGUAUUCUUGACUAAUGGUUGACGUGGGGGGAGGGUAGGACCUGGCCCAUUGUGGGUGAUGUUAUACCUAGGUAGGUGGUCCUGGAGUGGACAAGACAACAAACUGGGCAAGCCAGGAGGAACAAACCAGUAAGUAGCACCACUCCAUGGCUUCUGCUUUAGUUCCUGCCUCUAGGUUCCUGCUUGAGUUUCUACCCUGACUUCCCUCAGUGGUAAAAUGUUAUUUCAGAGUUUUAAGGUGAAAUAAACCCUUUCCUUUUCAAGUUGCUUUUGGUCAUAAUGUUUAUCAGGACAGCAGAAACUUCAACUGAGACUCUAGCGUCCAUUACUUGUAUUUCUUUUUUAGAUGUAUUUUACUUUAUUCUUGGACAACUUCAUACAUAGAUACAAAGUAUCUUCAACAUAUCCACUGACUAAUUCCCCUCUCUCAUUCCCUUGGAUAGGUGUCCAACACGUCCUUCUCCUAAUCCCGUGCCCUCUCCUCUUUCUU